UUAUAAUAGAUAAAAUAAAACAAAACAAAAUACUAAUAAUGAUGAUGGACAGGCUUACACGUGGUCCGUGCGGAACUGGUCCACGUAGAAUAAUAACGAACUUGUCUUAGGUACAUUCUUAAAUAAAAGAUCCUAAUAAUAGAAAUUAAAUGCAAUCAUUUAGUUUCAAUUAAUGUCCGGUCUCACAGAACAGAGAAAUGGAGCACUAGCAGCAAUAGUAGAAGAAAACCCCAGAAUCUUUUCUAGUUCUUUCUGUCGCAAGCAGAGCCUCGAGCCGCUACUAUACUAGCGCUGGUUGUCUUCUGCCGGCUCUUCUUGAGAUUGUUUUUAGAAGAGGAUGUGUCCAAACUCCUCUUUGCCAUUUCCAUGGAUCUCGAAUGAAAUUCUGAUGAAACUGGAGAAGAAAGAUUUGUCCCGGGAAAGGUUUUGUGAUCUUUCAUCACAGGAAAUUGCCGAACUCAUCUGUUUUCACAAGAUGGACAGAACACUGCACAUUUCAUCCACCAAUUCCCAAAGCUAAACCUUGCAGCACAUGUUCAGCCCAUAAUUCACACUGCGAUGAGGGUGAACCUACAGCAUCACCAGACUUUCAAUGGGAGGACAAGUUUCACGGAUACACGGAGCCAUUUUGGGAUAAUGAUGUUGAUUCUAUUCUUCAUCACCAGUACUUUAUGCUUAAUGAGCAGUACAUUGACAGGGACCACACGCUGAGUUUCACGGUGCCAAUCUAUGAGUAUCGCCACCUGUAGUGUCAGAUAAAUGGCUUGGUUCACAAACAAUUUUAGUCUCUUUUAGGCAUCUUAUCUUGCCAUAAAAGCAUCUGCCUCCAACAGAGUUGUUGGACCUGCAGCCUCUGCCCGUGACUGUGUUGAGAAAUCCAUCAUAUGAAGCUCGUCGUUGAGAUUUUAAGCAUUUUAUUCCAGUGGUUCUUUGUAAUACAGAUGGCAUUGUCAGAGUGUCAUCUGUGCAGUGUAUAUUGCACAUCUUAAAGAAAUUGCAGGGAAUGCUAUCGUGAUUAGGAGAGAUUUUGGUAGAAAUCUUGGCUUGCAGGUUGUUGAAUUAACUGGGGAAACAAACAUGUACUUGAAGUUGCUCAAAAAAGGCUCGAGUAUUCGUCAAAACUCUGGCGAAAUUAGAUGCUUUAUGCUGGAAACGGCAUGAGUAACCAAGUAUAUUCAUCAAUUUAGUCUUUUUAUCAUCGGGGUCAAGGCAGCCUUCUUGGAGGUUAUUGUCUCUAGGACGCAAUACAUUGCUAGUCGUAUAGAGAACAAGAUACAAAUUGUGCCUUUGUCGUCUUCUCUUGCAAAUGCCAAUGAUCUUGGGGAAUGAAUAAGAGCUACAUUCCAUUGUCUUUUCAAUUUUCCUCUGGAAAUAAACAUUCAGGGUGUGGAUAUUGCCAAUUUUGAGCCAAGGUGUCAGGCUGUCAGCUAUAUAUGAUGAAACUGACAUAUUCUUCUAUAGUCCAUCAUGCACAGAAUGGAAAAAAAUGUCGAGAGAAGCCAGAAAGCAUUUACAACUCACUGCUGUAGAUCUGAUGGCAUACUCGAGUGUGGGUGGUGGAGAGAAGCCGGCUUUUCUGCUGCGGUCUACUGAGGUAUUAGAGCCUUUCAUUCAAAAAAUUCAGGAAGAAAUGUUGAGAGCCACUUUGUACAUAGAGUUGGCUACUUGCAUGAGGGCUUGAGAGCAGCUUGGAUCAAGUAGUUGUUUCCAACUGUUUAAAGCUGGGUGGAUUCAGUUUUCUGUCAUGUGUAGUUCAAUGUGUUGGGUAGCGACUUUCUCGGCACAUUUGGUGGUUGUGAUGGGAACUCGAUGCUGUUACAGAUCUUCUUCAGAUGACAAGUCAUGCUAGCAAGCUCUUCAAGAGAUCCCGGGAAAAUGUGUCAUCCUUCGCCACAAACCUCGUAGAGAAUUCUACAAGAAAUUCUUACAUGAAGCGUUUCCACAGGAAACGCAUUCGCACCAUUUCCUACAUGAUAAUUUUAAUGCUGAAGUUAUUGAGCACAAGCAGGAUGCUAUAGAGUUAUGUCAGAGUCACCGGAUGCUGUGUAUAUAGGAGGCUCACUCAGAAUUCAAACUGCUAAAAUCUCCUGGUAGGUAGUUAGAGGCAUGUUUCUGAUCACCUUUCGAAGCUUGUUGAGAACACAUGGAGUGAUCUAGGAGCCGAGUAAAUGCGUUGCUAUCGGACCUCCUUUCUCCUCUGAACCAUGGUAGAAUAGCAUCUUAUUAUUAAAUCAUUUUUACUUGCUAUUUAAUGUUAGAAUCAUGGCUGAAAAUGCUUUUGCUUUAUUAAUACCACUACUAUUUGUUUUCACGACACU